CGGCACGGGUGAGUAACACGUAUCCAACCUGCCGUCUACUCUUGGACAGCCUUCUGAAAGGAAGAUUAAUACAAGAUGGCAUCAUGAGUUCACAUGUUCACAUGAUUAAAGGUAUUCCGGUAGACGAUGGGGAUGCGUUCCAUUAGAUAGUAGGCGGGGUAACGGCCCACCUAGUCUUCGAUGGAUAGGGGUUCUGAGAGGAAGGCCCCCCACAUUGGAACUGAGACACGGUCCAA
rnacentral:rRNA from 1 species